rnacentral:lncRNA from 1 species
AACUCUUUGAAUUAAGUCCCUUUAUUUUUUUUUUUAUCAUUUAAUUAUAAUUUUUAGGAUUUUCAUUUUAAAAGAAUUAAAGAGUGGUGACGCCAGUACAACUUUUAUUUUCAGCUUCACUGGAUUCAUUACACAAAAAAAAAGUGGAAAUAAAUAUAAAAUAAGUUCCAAUACCAAUAGUGAAGGAUCUCUAACGGUUUUAAAUAGUAAUCAAAUAUACCAAGUACAGCACAGUUUGUUUUGUUGAUGUUUUUUCUAAUUUUCGUAAAUGAAAUCGAUUAAAAAAUAUUUGUUGACCGAAAACUUAUAUGCCAAUGUUCUGAUUUUAUUUUCAAUUUAUAUCCGUUAGUUUUCGCAUUCUUUUAAGACAUCUAGCUGUUUAGUACCUGCGAAUUUACCAAUUGCGUCCUAUUCCUUAUAAUAACUGUUUACCAUUCCUAGUAGGGUGACAAUGGCAAGAGCCAUUAGUUAACAUACCCGAAUCAAUCUCUUUCUUUUUUUUUUUUUGAGCUUUUGAUUUUGAUUAGGGACUUUCCGUUUUUAAUUUACCUCGGAGUUCAGUAAUUGUGUGAUUUUACAUUUUUCUGUUUGGAAUAGUUAUCAAAGGUACUAGGAUUAUAAUUUAGUACGCCAGACGCGCGUUUCGUCUACAUAAGACUCAUCAGUGACGCUCAUAUCAAAAUAUUUAUAAAGCCAAACAAGUACAAAGUUGAAGAGCAUUGAGGAUCCAAAAUUCCAAAAAAGUUGUGCCAAAUACAUCUAAGGUAAUCUAUGCCUGGGAUAAGAAAAUCCUUAGUUUUUCGAAAAAUUCAAAGUUUUGUAAACAGGAAAUUUAUAAAAAUGACCACAUUAUUGAUAUUCAUGUCA